GUUUGAGGGGUCCUACGCAGGCCAUCGUCAAGUCGGACAUCAAGGAGAACUCAAAGGAAUUUUACAUUCGCUACCGGUUCUACCCGUUGCAACUGAACCGUGAUCACCUAGAGCUGGAACGCUUGCAACAGAAUGAUCCCAAGUGGCUGCCGAACCCUCUGAUGGCUUGCAAUGAAAUGGUGAAGUGCGGGCGGGUGGAGUUACUCCUUCACCCCCUCACGCAGAAGUUCCUGGAGAUGAAGUGGGAGGCUUACGGCCGCUUCAUCCACAUGUUCAACCUGGCGCUGUACGUCGUGUUCCUUGGCCUCGUCACCUUCUUCGGCGUGGGGCUCCUGGCGACGCUGGAUCCCGAGGCUUCCGCUUCUG